rnacentral:tRNA from 1 species
GGAACGGUAGAGAAAUGGGUAACUCGCUAUUGACGAAUAGAGUUGAGGGUUCGAAUCCCUCUCGUUCCACCG